GUCCCAGUGGUAUAGUGGUUGACACGCCCCUCUAGCAAACGGGAGAUGUCAGGUUCGAUUCCUCACUGGGACA
rnacentral:tRNA from 1 species